UACAGAGGGGGCAAGCGUUGUUCGGAAUUACUGGGCGUAAAGCGUGCGUAGUCGGUUAUCUAAGUCAGGUGUGAAAUCCCCGGGCUCAACCUGGGAAUUGCAUUUGAUACUGGAUAGCUAGAGUUCGGCAGAGGGAAGUGGAAUUUCUGGUGUAGCGGUGAAAUGCGUAGAUAUCAGAAGGAACAUCAGUGGCGAAAGCGACUUCCUGGACCAGAACUGACGAUCAGGCACGAAAGCGUGGGGAGCAAACAGG
rnacentral:rRNA from 1 species